GCACAACGGCAAGGUGCUGCUGCUGCUGCUGGGAGGCCACAACAGGCACAUUCUCAAGCCCCAUCCCCUUCUGGCUCACCCUCCACCUCUCCUGCCCAAUCCCCCUCUCCUGGCCAAUCCCCCUCUCCUGCCCAAUCCCCCUCUCCUGCCCAAUCCCCCUCUCCAGCCACCUCACCCUCUUUUGCCCACUCCCCCUCUCCAGCCACCUCACCCUCUCCAGCCACCUCACUCUCAUUUUCCCACUCCCCCUCUCCAGCCCAAGCCCACUCUCUUUCCCAAUCCCCCUCUCCAGCCCACACCCCCUCUCCAGCCCAAUCCCACUCUCUUUCCAAAUUCCCCUCUCUGCCCCCCUCCCCCUCUGUGUCCCAAAAAAGCACACCACCACCCUCACCUUAUCAUUCCCAAACCCCCUCUGUAAGUACCUCCCCCUUCCAUCCUCUCACACAAUUGGACCCUCCUUCCCCCAUCCUGCCUCCUUCCCCCAUCCAGCACCCAUUCCCCAUCCAGCCAACCUCACCCAUCCAGCCUCCAUCCCCCAGCCAGCCAACUUCGCCACCAACAGAAUGGGCAGCAGAGGCCCCGGAGCCACUAGAGGGAGGUGGCCAAGUGGCAGAGGAGAAUGGUGCCGUUGGAGAUCCCACAAGACUGGCAGUCAUCGUUGCCCGCAUGAAGGCACAUGUGGAGGCCAUGUUGGCCGAAGUUGACGUCUUAAAAAAUUUACUUUAAAAUAAUUUGUUAAAAAAAGUUUCUUUUACAAUUUUGUUUAAAAAAAAAAUAUGUGGAAAUAAUAAAAAUGUAUUUUACUCCGUUA